rnacentral:rRNA from 2 species
UUGUACGGCGAACUUGCGAAUGGGCUCAUUAAAUUCAGUUAUUCGUUUAUCUGAUAGUACCUUACUACUUGGAUAACCGUGGUAAUUCUAGAGCUAAUACAUCGCUAAAAACCCCGACUCACGGAGGGGCGUACUAUUUAGAUAAAAAACCAAUGCCCUUCGGGGCUCAGUGGUGAUUCCAUAAUAACUUCUCGGGAUCGCACGGCCUUGCGCGGCGAUGGUUCAUCCCAAAUUUCUGCCCUAUCAACUUUCGAUGGCUGGGUCUUGGCCAGCCAUGGUGACAACGGGUAACGGAGGGUUAGGGCUCGACCCCGGAGAGGGAGCCUGAGAAACGGCUACCACAUCCAAGGAAGGGCAGCAGGGCGCGCAAAUUAACCCAAUCCCGACGCGGGGAGGUAGUGACAAUAAAUACUGAUGCAGGGCUCUUUUGGGUCUUUGCAAUUUGGAAUGAGUACAAUUUUAAAUCCCUUAACGAGGAACAAUUUGGAGGGCAAGUCUGGUGCCAGCAGCCGCGGUAAUUUCCAGCUCCAAUAGCGUAUAUUAAAGUUGUUGAGGUUAAAAAGCUCGUAGUUGAACCUUGGGCCCUGGGCCGGCCGGUCCGCCUCACCGCGUGCACUGGCCCGGCCGGGUCUUUCCCUCUGGGGGAGCCGCAUGCCCUUUACUGGGCGUGCCGGGGAACCAGGGACGUUUACCGUGAAUAAAUUGGAUCGCUUAAAGAAGGCCUAUGCUCGAACAGUGCAGCAUGGAAUAAUGAAAUUAGGAUGCCGUGGUUCUAUUUUUGUUGGGUUUCUGGGGACCGCCGUAAUGAUUAAUAGGGACAGUCCGGGGGGCGUCCCGUAUUCAAUUGUUCAGAAGGUGAAAUUCUUGGGAUUUUAUUGAAGACGAAACUACUGCGAAAGCAUUCGCCAAGGAUGUUUUCAUUAAUCAGGAACGAAAGUUAGGGGAUCGAAGACGAUCAGAUACCGUCGUAGUCUUAACCAUAAACUAUGCCGAUUAGGGAUCGGGCGGUGUUAUUUUUUGACCCGCUCGGCACCUUACGAAAAAUCAAAA